GCCAGGUGUGGUGGCACUUGCCUGUAAUCCCAACAACUUGGGAGGCUGAGGCAGGAGAACCACAAGUUUUAAGGCUGGCCUCAGAAACUUAGCAAGACCCUGUCUCAA
rnacentral:sRNA from 1 species